rfam:Brassica oleracea var. oleracea cultivar TO1000 chromosome C4, whole genome shotgun sequence
GGAAGUUAAGAAACUGUUUCUUAAUUUUUAACUAAAAAUGGUAAGAACCGGUUCUUAAAUAAGAACGCUAAGAACGGGUUCUUAGCCUUUUUAGUUAAAAGUUAAGAAACAGUUUCUUAACUUCC